rnacentral:misc_RNA from 1 species
AAGUCGUAACAAGGUCUCCGUAGGUGAACCUGCGGAGGGACCAUUAACACGUAUCCACGUAUCAAACCAAACCGCGCACUAGGAACAGAAGAAACCUCCCUGCGAGGAAGUAUGAUGUUCCAAUCUGACUUGGAAAAGAAAUGCUGUCAGUUAGCAUCGUGUAGUGGGUCCUUCGGGACGAUGCUCUUUGACUGGAGGGAAAAGCUCAAGGCAUAGUAUUUUCCAAGUAUAAAAAUUUUCUACCUCUACGGGAAGCCAACCUAUUUCACCCCCAUAUAACCACUUGACUGAUGACGCUCGUGCGGAGAAAUCCGAUUCGAGUUUUCGAUAUUCGAACUAAAGCACAACUCUUAGCAACGGAUAUCUUGGUUCUC